rnacentral:rRNA from 1 species
GACGAACGCUGGCGGCGUGCUUAACACAUGCAAGUCGAACGAAAAGCGCCGGACUCUUGCUUCUAUCCAUCUGAGUGGCGGACGGGUGAGUCACGCGUAAUCAACCUGCCCUUCAGGGGGGGGCAACAGUUGGAAACGACUGCUCAUACCGCAUACGAUCUAACCUCGGCAUCGAGGAUAGAUGAAAGGUGGCCUCUACAUGUAAGCUAUCACUGAAGGGGGGGAUUGCGUCUGAUUAGCUAGGUGGGGGGGUGACGGCCCACCAAGGCGAGGAUCAGUAGACGGACGGAGAGGAUGGACGGCCACCUUGGGACGGGGACACGGCCCAUACUCCUACGGGAGGGAGCAGGGGGGAACCUUCCGCAAUGGAGGAAAGUCUUACGGAGUAAGGCCGCGUGAGUGAUGGCGGCCCUCGGUUUGGGAAGAUCGGUUAAUCGGGACGAAAGGCCUUCUUGCGAAUAGUGAGAAGGAUUGACGGUACCGGAAGAGAAAGCCACGGCUAACUACGUG